UGUGGACAAGACAGAAAUGGCUCUCUAGGGGACCUAGAGAGCCUAAAGGGCUUCUCCUGCUGCUUCCUCUACCUCUGUAUUUAGCUUGACUCUCUAAAUUAACUCAGCUCCAGGCGCAUGUCUGAGAUGAUAGAAGCUAAAUCCUUCCUCUCCUUCAUCUACUUUGUCCUCAGAGUCACUGGAGGGCUCCCCCUCUAAAAGGAUUUUGAGACCUAAGGGCUUUAAGACUUUUGCUUUCCAGCCCAGCCACCAGCCUGUUGUGCUGCUACUUACUCAACAAAAGUCUCAUGGAGAUAAU
rnacentral:lncRNA from 1 species